GACGAACGCUGGCGGCGUGCCUAAUACAUGCAAGUUGAGCGCUGAAGGUUGGUACUUGUACCAACUGGAUGAGCAGCGAACGGGUGAGUAACGCGUGGGGAAUCUGCCUUUGAGCGGGGGACAACAUUUGGAAACGAAUGCUAAUACCGCAUAAAAACUUUAAACACAAGUUUUAAGUUUGUAAGAUGCAAUUGCAUCACUCAAAGAUGAUCCCGCGUUGUAUUAGCUAGUUGGUGAGGUAAAGGCUCACCAAGGCGAUGAUACAUAGCCGACCUGAGAGGGUGAUCGGCCACAUUGGGACUGAGACACGGCCCAAACUCCUACGGGAGGCAGCAGUAGGGAAUCUUCGGCAAUGGACGAAAGUCUGACCGAGCAACGCCGCGUGAGUGAAGAAGGUUUUCGGAUCGUAAAACUCUGUUGGUAGAGAAGAACGUUGGUGAGAGUGGAAAGCUCAUCAAGUGACGGUAACUACCCAGAAAGGGACGGCUAACUACGUG
rnacentral:rRNA from 1 species